rnacentral:rRNA from 1 species
AUAGAAUUAUUGCUGCGGUUAAAAAGCUCGUAGUUGGAUCUGUGCCAUAGGACGUGGUCCACCUUCGGGUGCGUACUACGCUCCUAGGCUUUUUGUCGGUUUUCCCGUCGUAGCCUUCACUGGUUGCGGCGGGUGGCUGACGAGUUUACUUUGAGAAAAUCAGAGUGCUCAAUACAGGCGUCUAGCUUGAAUGAUUGUGCAUGGAAUAAUAGAAAAGGAUUUCGGUCCUCUUUUAUUGGUUUUGUGGACUGAGAUAAUGGUUAACAGGGACAAACGGGGGCAUUCGUAUCGCUGCGUGAGAGGUGAAAUUCUUGGACCGUAGCGAGACGCCCUACUG